CUGAGUCUGUGCGACGGGCUGGUGUGCAGCGGUGAGGAUUACGGUUGCCUUCUGUCGCCCGCCAUGAACUCACUGGACCAGGCUGAGGAUCUCAAAGCUUUUGAAAGAAGACUUACCGAAUAUAUUGCAUGUUUGCAACCAGCUACAGGACGUUGGAGAAUGAUUCUGAUAGUGGUGUCAGUCUGCACAGCGACUGGUGCCUGGAACUGGUUAAUAGACCCAGAGACACAAAAGGUGUCAUUUUUCACAUCACUUUGGAAUCAUCCGUUUUUCACAAUUAGUUGUAUUACCCUAAUAGGCUUAUUCUUUGCUGGAAUACAUAAAAGAGUGGUGGCACCAUCAAUUAUAGCAGCCCGAUGUCGAACUGUUUUGGCGGAAUAUAACAUGUCCUGUGAUGAUACUGGAAAAUUAAUUUUGAAACCUAGGCCUCAUGUUCAAUAAGGGCUGUCUUCCUUCAUUUUUUUCCACUGCCAUGGAAACCAAAAAUGACCUUUUUAAGCUGUCCUUGUCUCCUGGUCAUUCUUUUUGGAACCGGUUAAAGGACUGCGGAAAGACUGUCUGUCCUGGAGAAAACUGGUCUCACUGUUUUAAGAACUGCAGCUGCAUCAAUGAUCACAUUUGUCUGUCUGCGUAUGUAGUGCACCAGCCAGUUCUGUUGUGAUCAUACGUAGUUAAUGGUGUGAUCUGGUUCACAACACUGAUCUUUUCAGAUUUUAGUACCUUAAAUAUGCUUGUGGCACAGACUGUAUCUGUACUGUAUCUGAAGUCCAUGUGACCAUUCUGAGAGGAUUUUUAUGCAAUGAUAGUCCAAUAUGAAACUAGUAUUGAAAAAUGUGUGACUUCAGAUUUGGUGUAGAAAAUAGAGUGCCACAAUAAAAUAUUUUAUUAUUGAGUGUUAAAAGCAAGAUGUGGAUGUCAUGUGCAUAAAGUGCAACUUCUGAAUAGCUAAAUUGGAAAGAGUUUUAGCCUGUUCAAGGUGCCUUUUUAAUGGUUUCAAACUCUUCUAAUGGACUAAAACUGCAAAGCUGUUGCAACUUAGUAACACCUACUACAAGCUAGACCGGCUUUUAAAGGCAGCCUAUGGAUGUAACCAUGUCAGUUGUAUCAGAAUUGUAUCCUGUAAUUUUUCCCUUCUGCCCAUCUAUUAUUUUUAACUGGUGUAUAUUUUGUAGGUCAAUAUGUAUAAAAUAAAUUGUUUGUAUAAACA